rnacentral:rRNA from 1 species
CCUACCGGGAGGCAGCAGUGAGGAAUAUUGGUCAAUGGGCGGAAGCCUGAACCAGCCAAGUAGCGUGCAGGAUGACGGCCCUACGGGUUGUAAACUGCUUUUAUACGGGAAUAACGCGCCUUACGUGUAGGGCUUUGCAUGUACCGUAUGAAUAAGGACCGGGUAAUUCCGUGCCAGCAGCCGCGGUAAUACGGAAGGUCCGGGCGUUAUCCGGAUUUUUGGGGUUUAAAGGGAGCGUAGGCGGGAUGUCAAGCGUGCUGUGAAAUGUACGGGCUCAACCCGGGCAUUGCAGCGCGAACUGGCGGGCUUGAGUCCGCGGAAAGCAGGCGGAAUUCGUGGUGUAGCGGUGAAAUGCUUAGAUAUGACGAAGAACCCCGAUUGCGAAGGCAGCUUGCUGCAGCGGAACUGACGCUGAUGCUCGAAAGCGCGGGUAUCGAACAGGAUUAGAUACCCGUGUAGUC